ensembl:lncRNA
GGGCGGUGGACAUAGAGGAGGUAACCUUGGAGAGGAUCAUGAGGGGGCGGUGGACAGAGAGGAUCAUGAGGGGGCGGUGGACAGAGAGGAUCAUGAGGGGGCUGUGGACAGAGAGGAUCAUGAGGGAGCGGUGGACAGAGAGGAACAUGAGGGGGCUGUGGACAGAGAGGAACAUGAUUGGGCGGUGGACAGAGAGGAACAUGAUGGGGCUGUGGACAGAGAGGAUCAUGAGGGAGCGGUGGACAGAGAGGAACAUGAGGGGGCUGUGGACAGAGAGGAUCAUGAGGGGGCGGUGGACAGAGAGGAUCAUGAGGGGGCGGUGGACAGAGAGGAUCAUGUGGGGGCUGUGGACAGAGAGGAACAUGAGGGAGCGGUGGACAGGGAGGAACAUGAGGGGGCUGUGGACAGAGAGGAACAUGAGGGAGCGGUGGACAGAGAGGAUCAUGAGGGGGCGGUGGACAUAGAGGAGGUAACCUUGGAGAGGAUCAUGAGGGGGCGGUGGACAGAGAGGAUCAUGAGGGGGCGGUGGACAGAGAGGAUCAUGAGGGGGCUGUGGACAGAGAGGAUCAUGAGGGGGCGGUGGACAGAGAGGAUCAUGAGGGGGCGGUGGACAGAGAGGAUCAUGAGGGGGCGGUGGACAGAGAGGAUCAUGAGGGGGCGGUGGACAGAGAGGAUCAUGAGGGGGCGGUGGACAGAGAGGAUCAUGAGGGGGCGGUGGACAGAGAGGAUCAUGAGGGGGCGGUGGACAGAGAGGAUCAUGAGGGAGCGGUGGACAGAGAGGAUCAUGAGGGGGCGGUGGACAGAGAGGAUCAUGAGGGGGCUGUGGACAGAGAGGAACAUGAGGGAGCGGUGGACAGGGAGGAACAUGAGGGGGCUGUGGACAGAGAGGAACAUGAGGGGGCUGUGGACAGAGAGGAACAUGAGGGAGCGGUGGACAGGGAGGAACAUGAGGGGGCUGUGGACAGAGAGGAACAUGAGGUAGCGGUGGACAGAGAGGAUCAUGAGGGAGCGGUGGACAGAGAGGAACAUGAGGGGGCUGUGGACAGAGAGGAACAUGAGGGAGCGGUGGACAGAGAGGAGGUAACCUUGGAGAGGAUCAUGAGGGGGCGGUGGACAGAGAGGAUCAUGAGGGGGCGGUGGACAGAGAGGAUCAUGAGGGGGCGGUGGACAGAGAGGAUCAUGAGGGGGCGGUGGACAGAGAGGAACAUGAGGGAGAG